rnacentral:lncRNA from 12 species
CUAAAAUUAAGUGCACCACCCUCUCUUUUAGUUCUCUUCUUCUUGGCUUAAAGUACAGAGAGAUAGGCAUCACUUGUCUUGCAGUAAAACUGAUUACCAGAGAUUAGCUAAUCCUCUGUAGCAAUGUGUCCAGGAAGUUUUUAAGAUGUUCCUAAAGAUGUCACAAACUGCAGUGACUUUUGGGGAUUUGCAAAAAACUGCAGUGAACUUUUGGGGAUUUUAAGGAUUACAGCUUGACUAAAUAUUGUAAUGUCCUUAAGGUUUGUGUGCACAAUGAGUAAAAAGGUAAUAUGCCAAAACUCUCUGAUGAGUCCAUUCGAGUGCAUUUGUUGGACUGGGAUAAAUCUUUCAGAACAUCAAGAAGACUCAGUGAAUUGCAGGACUGUAAAAUACGGUACCACUCUAAAAUGAAUAGUCUCAUAUUAUUGACCAUGCUGUGGCUCAAUCCCUCUGGAGCUGUAAGUAAAUGUUGUUUUUGAAUGAUGCUUCUACUCUCAUAGUAGUUUAUAUCACAUCUUAUAAUUCUGGUGUGAUGUAAAUGAGCAGCCCUGCUUAUUUAAGCCUUUAGAAUGGAAUCAAACAACAUCAUAUGAUACUUUAUUAAAUGACAAUGAUUACAAUAUUGUGAACUCAUGUCAUUCUUAUUUCCUCACAGCUGUGCCACCGUCAUAAACCCUGGAGCUCCUCUGGCAGUGAUGAGUCCCUGCCCCAGCCUCGGCUCCGGUUCCGGCUCCUGCCCCACUCCGAUUCCAGCCACAGCCCUGGCUCCCACAGCCACACCCAGCCCCCCAGUCAUCAGCACCACUGUCCGUGGAGAUGGUCCACCAUAGGGCAGGAGUCCCUUUGGAGCCGAACAAUGACAUUAAAGUACCCUUGAGAUUUUAAGUAAUGCUUUCAAUAAACAUAAUGAAUAUCACAUAUUUAACAUGUUAUUCAGUUAUUAUUUAGAAGUAAAAAUAACUUUUCCUUUUUUAAAACAUUUAUUUUCUUAUACAUUUAUCCUCAGUUGGUAAAACCUGCAUUAGAGAAAUACAUUUUCUAUACACUGCUACUGAAUACACUACAUAUUUGUGAUCAUUGCAGUUAACCAAAUUUUUUUUUUUUUUUUUUGGAAAAAUAUCCAACUAGCUGCCCUAGCUAUGUGAUCAAAUGACAAUAUAAAGCAGGCAUUGACAUCCAAAAUUAUAAGUA